AAAUAGGCGGUGCUCCAAUCAGGGCACCGUUUAAGAUAACACCCAUUGUAUUACAAGUACCUAUGUUUCCUCGGCGGGUUCGCCCGCCAAUGGGGACCACUAUAGAACCUUUUUGCAAUAGCAGUAAACGUCUAUAAACAAAUAAUCA
rnacentral:misc_RNA from 1 species